GUUUUCACUUCCGUUCUCAUUUUGGUACCGGGAAUUUUAAAGCGUUAAGUUAUCACGGCAGAUGAAGUAUAGAACACAUUAAUCGUCACCGAAAAUGUGCGGUAUACUAAACGGCAGCUGAGCUAAAAUUCCGACUAAAACAUGACACGGGCGAUGCUAAUAAACAAAUAGUUUACAUGUUUAUCGUAAAAAUUAUGAAAUAUCCGAUUUAUAUGAGUUUAUCUUACAAUUCCCCCGACUUCCAAUGCAAGGCUGAUUUCGGUAGUGGUGACUUCCAAUACAC